CCCUUGUCCUCCUCGCGCAUUUCGCAGUCCACAGACGCAGACUGGCCCGGAUAAUCCACCACUGGCUGUGAGCUUCGCCACACUCCUCCCUUCUUCCCCACCUCGCCCUGGCGCGCUCACCCCUACGUGGGAGAGCUCAGGUACGUAGUUGGAUGGGAUGUCCUGUGAGAAGGCAUGCAGAUAACAGAAAUGUGAGGCAAAAGAGCAAGAAAGAGUUUCUCUUUUGCUGAGAAGAAGAAUAAACCUCAUUCUUGUUCAGAUGUAGAGAUCAAGGAAAAGACUUCUGUCUUAUUGGCUUCAGAUAUGUUAUCAGCACCUAAAUAAUGGAAAGCUGCAUUAAAGGAGGUUUCCCUUGGGAAGAGAGAGAGAGACAGAGCAUGAACAGGGGACGGGCAGAGAGAGAGGGAGACACAGAAUCCAAAACAGGCUCGAGGCUCUGAGCUGUCAGCAGAGAGCCCAACGCGGGGCUCGAACUCACGGACUGCGAGAUCGUGACCUGAGCCGAAGUUGGAUGCUUAACCGACCGAGCCACCCAGGCACCCCUGUGAGGCAUUGCAUGUGGUCCUGAGGAUGUAAAGUUGAAUAAGGAUGUUCCUGCCUUUCAAAUGCCAAUAAUCCUUGGAGAAGAUAUGCAAACAUGUGAACACUAUACAAUAUGAUAUGCAUGCCCUUCAAGGUAAGUGAGAAGGUUUAAGUACAAUCGAGUGGUCAGUUUCACUUGAGGGGAGGGCUGUAAUCAGGGAAGAUUUCCCAGGGAAAAGUUUGGUGCAGUGGGUAUAAACACUUUUCGGAGACAUAAGGAAGAAUCAAGGCAUCUAAGACAGAGGGAAGACUGUGUACAAGGGCAGAGGGACCUGUGACGACAGAGUACAGGGAAGAAGCUACAGUCGGGCAGAACUAAAGCAUGGGGCACAUGAUGAAGUGCCUGUUAUUUGUCACGGCAAUGGCAGUAGGAGUCUAAGUUUCCUCCAAACAGUUAACUUAUUCUUAUACCCUAAGAUAGACAUUAACAGAAGCUCACAGAACCAGAAAUCAAUGCACAUGUAAGUGACCUAAAAGGUAUUUUGUCCAGUGUAGUUGUUGACUUUGCCUGACCCAAAGGACUUGAGUUGGGAGCAUAUAGGCCUAGAGUAGCUGACAGCCAUCUUGUGACACACGGGGCCUGAAAGCAGAGCCAGUUUAUAGGAACAUAAGAGAGAGAUGGGAGAAAAUUAGAUCCUGGUGACGUUAUUCAAGCCGCCGGAUUAAGCCACACCUGAAACAGGUGCAUUUCUAAAUUCUUCAGUUACAAGAGAUAAGUCAGUUUGCAUUUUUUGCUGAAGUCAGUUUGAUACAUAUAUAUAUAAUAUAUAUGUAUAUAUGUACAUAUAUAUGUACAUAUAAAUUAUAUGCAUGUAUAUAUUUUUGGUCAUUUGCAACCUAAUAGAUAUAUUUGGCCUCUUAAUUUACAGUUCAGGAGACUAAUUUUCAGUACGCUAAAGUGACUCAUUAUCAAGUGGUUAGUCAAAAACUGAGACUAAAACUGAGGUCUCUUGACUCAGAGGCCAGAUUUAGGAAUAUCCAGCAUUUAAAAAGCAUAUGCUUGUGAAGACCUAAAUAUACAUGUAUCUAGAGAUCUGUUUUGAGGGAACCACAUAUUUGAGAGUGUGACUGAGUUUAGUUUUAAAAUGACAUUUCCAAGUGACAACAUUGCAGAAAGAGCAUCGCUUCAUGGUCUAUUUGCCACUAAUCAUCAUUGUGACCUUGGGUGUAUCUCUGGGCCUGAGUUGCUCAUGGGAUGUAAUUAUCUUUAAUUCCUCUUCCAUUUCUAUGAUUUGAAGAAGAAGUACACUCAAUGUUCAAUUACCCAUGGUGGAUCUUCCAUAUUCCUACAUAUUCUGGGCUAACCUUCCUUCUGGAUUAUUUUUGAUAUUAUUGGGUUCAAUGCCACAAAUAUUUACUGAACACUGAUCAUGGGCUAGGGGUUGCAAAAGAGAGUAGUUAUUUCUAGUCAGUAUUACUUACAUACUUUUGUAUUCUCAGAUGCAAUUUGAUAUUGUUUGUAGCCCCAAACAAUCCAGGGAAUGUGUGAUCCCAAACAAGAGCAGGGUUAGAGAGAGGGCUCGGCUUGACUCUGUGCAUCAGUAGGGGAAGUGAGGCUGUUGUCGGCACUCAGAGGGAGGCAUAGAGCAGAGUCCUGAGGAACACAGGCAGGUUGGAAAUACAUUUCCGGCUGAAACAGAAUCGGGGUUGAAUCAUAAGUCUUUAGAAGAUCAGCACCAUACCUAUCACUGUGGAUACCUUUGGGUCCUUUAAAAAAAAUUUUUUUUUAACGUUUAUUUGUUAUUGAGAGAGAGAGAGAGAGAGACAGAGCAUGAGCAGGGGAGGGGCAGAGAGAGACACACACACAGAAUCCGAAGCAGGCUCCAGGCUCUUAGCUGUCAGCCCAAAGCCGGACGUGGGGCUCAAACUCACAAACCGUGAGAUCAUGACCUGAGCCGAAGUCAGACGCUUAAGCGACUGAACCACCCAGGAAACCCACCUCUGGGUCCUUUAAGAGUGGUUGUCUCCAAGUUUGGGAACAAUUUACUAACAUUUUUCUUUGUAUGAUAGUAUAAGCACUUAAUUGGUUGAUGAACUCUUUUGGAUAAUUUUUUUUUGUCAUAUAGCAAUUAAUGUGAUUCACCCAAGUAAUUUUUUAGCUUGUAGUCCGUUUCUUAGCCUGUCCACAAACAGUUCUGUCAGCUGCACAGUGACCCGGAGUUCUGCAGCUCCACCUGAGUCUGGGGAAGGGGCAAAGACGCCGGCUGGGCAGCUUGCUGGAGCCAGGUGCUGUCUCCUCUCUAACCACGUUGGCCAGUGUGACCCUGCACACGUGAUUGGCUCCCAGUAGUGCCUUCAAGUUAAAAUCCAAGAUCCUGAGCAUGGCCUCACAGAAUCCUUCACCAGCUGGCCGUUUCUCUAGCCUCAUUUCGUCUCUCACCAUGAUGCUGGCCUUGGCUUCCGGGUAUUCUGUCUGCAUUCACAUGGAACUGUCUAGAGGUUAGGGAGUUGAGACCUGGAAAGAUGAAAAGUGAUUUUCCCGAGCGCCUAGAUCAUUGUCCUCUUCAGCAUCACAGUAGCAAACAUUUGCUUGCCUAGUGCCAACUACUGAUCUAGGCACUUCCCACGUAUUACUGUUCCUGGAGAGAGGUUGGAGCUAUGGCUGCUGGAAUAAGUUGAGAGAUACCACGAAAGAGAAGAGGAUCCAGAGAGAGUGUUGCAAGUUCUGACAGGUAGCAGCUUCACCUAUGGGGAGACAGGCUGGUUGUAAACCAGAAAACAGGCCAGGAACGCCUGAAAACUCUGCCCAUACAUUGUGAAGAACUUCCUGAGGAAGUUUCCUAAAUUGGACACCAAGUAUGAAGCGGACCCCUGGUGCCGGAUCUUGGUGUGCAAAAGAGGCAACUUGGACACAGAGACGGUGCAGAGAUGGCCAUGUGAAGACACAGACACACAAGGAGAAUGCCAUGUGAAGAAGGAGACAGAGGUUGGAAUGAUGUUUCUCUAAGCCAAGGAAUGCCAAGAAUUCCUGACCAUCACGAAGCUAGGACAGAGGCAUGGAGCAGAUUUCUCUCAGCGUCCUUCGAAGAGGGAGGAAGCCAGCCACACCAAGUGAGGACAGCAGAAGUUUGGGAAGCCAGUGAGGAGGCAGAACCCAGAUGGGCAGAAGAGAAGAGAAGAGAAGCCAACAUGGGGGAAAACCGAGGAUUGACAAGAAGGAGAAGGACGGCGGGGUGCUCAGCCGUAGGUAGCCGCAAAGUUGCUAAAGCAGGAGGAGGGAAAGAAAGCAAGCACUCGAGAUUACUGCUGGAAGCUUGGCUGCUUCCCCAAGUGUGUUUUCAGCUGUGUUUCAGUCCUCCUAGCUGCACUGAUACAUCUUAACCGUCUGUUAUGGGUACGAAUUAUUGUCAAGAGAUGGAGAAGUAUAUAGUCUUGUGUGCCUCUUUGUCACGUGUCAAUACUGGAAAAGAAACUGAUCAUUAUUGGAAGAAGGAAGAAAAUACAGUCAAACUCUAGGUGACUGCAGCAUUGGCUAACAGCAAGACUGAAACCUCCUGUGAGACCCUGAACUCCUGUGAGAUGCUGAACUACUCAGUGCAUGCUGAUGAAGCACCACGAGGGCUGUUUCCACCGUCUCUGUAUCUUCAAGAAGACUGGGUCGAUCCUGUUCAUCAGGGCAAUUCCUGGAGCUGGUUUCUGCAGUAUAGGCAUCAAGAGCAAUAAAUCUCCUCUAAGUACUACA